AUUGAACGCUGGCGGCAUGCCUUACACAUGCCAGUCGAACGGCAGCACGGGUGCUUGCACCUGGUGGCGAGUGGCGAACGGGUGAGUAAUACAUCGGAACAUGUCCUGUAGUGGGGGAUAGCCCGGCGAAAGCCGGAUUAAUACCGCAUACGAUCUACGGAUGAAAGCGGGGGACCUUCGGGCCUCGCGCUAUAGGGUUGGCCGAUGGCUGAUUAGCUAGUUGGUGGGGUAAAGGCCUACCAAGGCGACGAUCAGUAGCUGGUCUGAGAGGACGACCAGUCACACUGGGACUGAGACACGGCCCAGACUCCUACGGGAGGCAGCAGUGGGGAAUUUUGGACAAUGGGCGAAAGCCUGAUCCAGCAAUGCCGCGUGUGUGAAGAAGGCCUUCGGGUUGUAAAGCACUUUUGUCCGGAAAGAAAUCCUUGGCUCUAAUACAGUCGGGGGAUGACGGUACCGGAAGAAUAAGCACCGGCUAACUACGUG
rnacentral:rRNA from 1 species